CCAGACUCCUACGGGAGGCAGCAGUGAGGAAUAUUGGUCAAUGGGCUUACGCCUGAACCAGCCAAGUCGCGUGAGGGAAGACUGCCCUAUGGAUUGUAAACCUCUUUUGCCGGGGAGCAAAAAGCGGUACGUGUACCGCAUCGAGAGUACCCGGAGAAAAAGCAUCGGCUAACUCCGUGCCAGCAGCCGCGGUAAUACGGAGGAUGCGAGCGUUAUCCGGAUUUAUUGGGUUUAAAGGGUGCGCAGGCGGCGAGUAAAGUCAGCGGUAAAAUGUCGGGGCUCAACCCCAACGAGCCGUUGAAACUGGCUUGCUAGAGUGGGCGAGAAGUAUGCGGAAUGCGUGGUGUAGCGGUGAAAUGCAUAGAUAUCACGCAGAACCCCGAUUGCGAAGGCAGCCUUCCGGCGCCCUACUGACGCUGAGGCACGAAAGUGCGGGGAUCGAACAGGAUUAGAUACCCUCGUAGA
rnacentral:rRNA from 1 species